rnacentral:rRNA from 1 species
CCUACGGGUGGCAGCAGUAGGGAAUUUUCGGCAAUGGGGGGAACCCUGACCGAGCAACGCCGCGUGAACGAAGAAGUUAUUCGUAAUGUAAAGUUCUUUUAACAGGGAAGAAAGAGAAAUUUGACGGUACCUGAAGAAUAAGCUCCGGCUAACUACGUGCCAGCAGCCGCGGUAAUACGUAGGUGGCAAGCGUUGUUCGGAAUAACUGGGCGUAAAGGAUGCGUAGGCGGUUAAACAAGUUAUAUGUUAAAUAUAUAGGCUUAACCUGUAGAAAGCAUAUAAAACUGUUUAACUAGAGUGCAGGAGAGGUAAGUGGAAUUCCUAGUGUAGCGGUGAAAUGCGUAGAGAUUAGGAAGAACACCAGUGGCGAAGGCGACUUACUGGACUGUAACUGACGCUGAGGCAUGAGAGCAUGGGGAGCAAACAGGAUUAGAUACCCGGGUAGUC